rnacentral:rRNA from 1 species
GUCGUAACAAGGUCUCCGUUGGUGAACCAGCGGAGGGAUCAUUAUCGAGUUUACAAACUCCCAAAACCCCCUGUGAACGUACCUAUCGUUGCUUCGGCGGGCCCUUCCGCCCCGGCGCCCCUCGCGGCCUGGGAUCCCGGGGGCUCGCCGAGGGACACGCAAACUCUUGUAUUGGUUGAGCAUCUUCUGAGUUAAAGACCAAAAAAACGAAUCAAAACUUUCAACAACGGAUCUCUUGGUUCUGGCAUCGAUGAAGAACGCAGCGAAAUGCGAUAAGUAAUGUGAAUUGCAGAAUUCCGUGAAUCAUCGAAUCUUUGAACGCACAUUGCGCCCGCCAGAAUUCUGGCGGGCAUGCCUGUCCGAGCGUCAUUUCAACCCCUCGCGCCCCUUCGGGGGAGCGGCGUUGGGGCUCGGCCUGCCCCCCCCGGUCCGCCGGGCUAGGGACGGGCCGUCCCCGAAAUCGAGUGGGCGGUCUCGCGAUCGGCUUCCUCUGCGUAGUAGCAAUAUCUCGCACCGGGACGUCGCGCGGCCACGCCGUUAAACCCCCAACUUUCUGAAAGGUUGACCUCGGAUCAGGUAGGAAUACCCGCUGAACUUAAGCAUAUCAAUA